rnacentral:rRNA from 1 species
GGCGGCGUGCCUAACACAUGCAAGUCAACUUGACUGAAGGAGCAAUCUGACAGUAGAGUGGCGCAAGGGUGCGUAACGCGUAAGUAACUUGCCCCAAGGUAAGGAAUAACGUCGAGAAAUCGGCGCUAAUGCCUCAUAAUGCAGCGGAUCCGCAUGGAUAUGUUGUUAAAGGUUUACCGCCUUGGGAUAGGCUUGCGUCUGAUUAGUUAGUUGGUGUGGUAACGGCACACCAAGGCUACGAUCAGUAACUGGUCUGAGAGGAUGAUCAGUCACACUGGAACUGAGACACGGUCCAGACUCCUACGGGAGGCAGCAGUGAGGAAUAUUGGGCAAUGCUCGAAAGAGUGACCCAGCAACGCCGCGUGGAGGAUGAAGGUAUUCUAUAUCGUAAACUCCUGUGAGAGCAGACGAAAGACAGAUUAUUAAUCUGGAUGACUGUAUGCUCAGAGGAAGCCCCGGCUAACUACGUG